GAUGAACGCUAGCGGCAGGCUUAAUACAUGCAAGUCGAGGGGCAGCACGGUUAGCAAUAACUGGUGGCGACCGGCGCACGGGUGCGUAACACGUAUACAAUCUACCUUAAACAGGGGGAUAGCCUUUCGAAAGAGAGAUUAACACCCCGUAAUAAAUUGAACGGCAUCGUUUGAUUUUGAAAGCUCCGGCGGUUUGAGAUGAGUAUGCGUCUGAUUAGCUAGUUGGUGAGGUAACGGCUCACCAAGGCGACGAUCAGUAGGGGAUCUGAGAGGACUAACCCCCACACUGGUACUGAGACACGGACCAGACUCCUACGGGAGGCAGCAGUAAGGAAUAUUGGUCAAUGGAGGCAACUCUGAACCAGCCAUGCCGCGUGCAGGAUGACGGCCCUAUGGGUUGUAAACUGCUUUUAUACAAGAGAAAACCCUGGUACGUGUACCAGGUUGAUAGUAUUGUAAGAAUAAGCAUCGGCUAACUUCGUGCCAGCCGCCGCAGUAACAC
rnacentral:rRNA from 1 species